CAGUUUGCUGAGCUAGCCCUGCCGACUUUAUGGGGAAACUGUUGACCAUACUUGCUAUCAACGCACUUGACCUGCAUGGACAUCUGUGAGGAAACGAGCAUCGCAAUACACUGCAGGGGAAGUUCUUCCUUGUGAGCUGCGGCAUGGAACUCAUAUCUUAGGAUUUCGUACCAACCGUCUCCGUUUUCGCUGGUGGUUGAAUGCAGACGCAAAAUCCAUGGAGAUAAGGCCCCUAUCAGGUGACAUUUGGGAACUUGACAGCGCCUUUCCUGUAUUCACCUUUCUGUAAUGACUUGUCUACGGUGUCUGUCCCUCAAGGAGGCAUCAAGACAUCCGCAAAGACAUUGGACACAACCUCUUCUUCGGAACCCAAGUGAUUCCUCAGGGAGUACAGCUCUCAUUCCACUUCAGAAGGCCACGUGCUUUGGAGCGAUGAAGAUGCUUGGAGUAGGUGCUGAUCCGCUGGACAGAUCUGCAGAUAAUCCGUUUUGUUGUCCAGAGAAGAAUUCAAUGGCGAAGUUCGCGUCGUACACGGGCCUGUGUGGGACUCCGGAACCAUGGGCUCAACGAAUUCACCGGGCUCAUACUAGGACUCAUACUAAACUCAACCGAUAUCUAGGCAUCUCAUACCGGGUCAACCCAUCCCAGGGAGAUCCGUACCAGGAAGAAUGGAAACCUACAUUCUAACGGUUAUCUACCCACGGUGUCCUGGUGACAGCACGACGGUCAACCAGGUCACGUACUUGUACCCGAGAAUCAAGAAAAUAAGCGGAACCUGGAAGACGGAAA